rnacentral:lncRNA from 1 species
ACCUAGUCCCCCCCCUCUCGGUCUGGACUCAAGGGCCACACUAGGUAACCACCCUUACUCUCUUUCUCUCUCUUCUUCUCUCUCUUUCUCUUCUCUCUCUCACUCAGUCUCGGACUAGGGUCUAAGCCCCCGGUCCCCUCUCUUUCUCUCUCUUUCUCUCUCCCUUUUUCUCUCCUUCACUCUCUUUUUCUCUUCUUCUCCCUCUCACCCUCUCUCAAUUUUCCCCCUCUCUCUCUCUCCUUCACUCUCUUUUUCUCUUCUUCUCCCUCUCUCUCUGCCCCUCUCUCAGUUUUCCCUCUCUUUCUCUCUUAUCCCCUCUCUCUCCUUUCUCUCUUGUUCCUUCUUUCUUCUUUCUUUCCCCCUCCCGCUCUUGGUCUCAGACCCGGGGCUAAGUCCCCCCAUCCCCCUUCCUCUCUCUCUCUCCUACUCGAACUCAAGGCUGGUUCGAGCACCUCUCAUUCUCCUUCUCUCUCUCUACUCAUUUACUCCCUAUCUCUCGUCUAAAUCACAAACCUGCAUCUAGGCGCGGACCCAGCUUCCUCCCUUUUUCUUUCCUCUUGCAGCUUCCCUCCUCAUCUUUUCUCUCGUCUUGCUCUCACCCUCCCCCAUCAAGUGACGGGUCCGCGCCUUAUGUGAGGUCGUCCAACUCUCCACUCGCGCUUUCACGCACACGCCGUCCAACUCUCGAUGCCUCUCUCAUCUCCCUCACUCCGUCCACGCCAAACACUACAAUUCCCCCAUCCGCUCCAUCUCUUACCUACUUCAUGCGCGCCAUCACACCUACAUCUCCAUGUGCCCCUAUGACACCUU